rnacentral:sRNA from 1 species
AGGAAUAGGAUUUCCGCUAAAACCGCCCAUCCACGUCCUGUGGGCAACACGGAAGUCAGUACAUCCUGUACA